rnacentral:sRNA from 1 species
GGGAGACCGAGACAGUGCCAGGGGCGGGAGGCCGGGGCUAGGGCCGGGGUCUGGGCGGGGGUGUGCCGGAGGCCGGAGUCCGGGUCGGGGCGCCGGGGGCGGGAGGCCGGGGUCCGGGCGAGGGCUGCCUGCGCCCCUGAGUGCGCGCUGUGCCCGCAGUGCUGAAGCGGCGUCUGGUGAAGCUGGUGGUGAAUUUUCUCUUCUACUUUCGGACAGACGAGGCCGAGCCCGUCGGAGCCCUGCUGCUGGAGCGCUGCAGAGUCAUCCGGGAAGAACCCGGCACCUUCUCCAUCAGCUUCAUCGAGGACCCUGAGAGGAAGUAUCACUUUGAGUGCAGCAGCGAGGAGCAGUGUCAAGAGUGGAUGGAGGCUCUGCGUCAGGCCAGCUACGAGUUCAUGCGGAGAAGCCUCAUCUUCUACAGGAAUGAAAUACGGAAGGUGACGGGCAAGGACCCCCUGGAACAGUUCGGCAUAUCCGAGGAGGCCAGGUUCCAGCUGAGUGG